rnacentral:rRNA from 1 species
GAUCAUGGCUCAGGACGAACGCUGGCGGCGCGCCUAACACAUGCAAGUCGAACGAGAGAUGAGGAGCUUGCUCUUCAAAUCGAGUGGCGAACGGGUGAGUAACGCGUGAGGAACCUGCCUCAAAGAGGGGGACAACAGUUGGAAACGACUGCUAAUACCGCAUAAGCCCACGGCUCGGCAUCGAGCAGAGGGAAAAAGGAAGGUGAUCCGCUUGUAGAUGGCGUCGCGUCCGACGUUAG